CCGCGGGGGCUGGGGCCUUCGGGGAGCAGUUGGCGGCCGGGCUCCUCGUGGGACGCGGGGUUUGGGGUUGGUUCGGAGGGGUUUGGUUGCUGUUUGGCUUUUUCCGACGGUUCCGUCUCGGCCGGGAGCGGCUGGGCUUGGCGGUGCCGCUCCCGUUGCUGCGCGGUCUGAGCGCGGGCGGUCGAGUCGCGGCUGCCGGCGGCGGCUGCCCCGGCGCCCUCACAGCGCUCCUCACAGCGCGGAGCUGCGUCACGCGGCGGAGGGGCCCUCAGCCCGCUGCACCCCCGGGCGCUGCGCCAGCGCCUCAGUGCCGUCCGGAAGGACGGGAUGGAGCUCUGGGGGCAGCAGCUGUCAUCCGAUGGUGGGGAAGGUGUAGGAAAAGGGCUCCUCAGGUCAACUCGGAAGCCGGAGAAGAAAGGAAAACGCCUGCGCUCGGUCCGCGUUCCCCCGGCGGAGCGGGUCGGCACCUCGCCGCUCUUCGCUGCUGCCACAUGUACAGCUCCUCACCUCGAGACGUCUUCCCGGGCGUCUGGCUUCGCCUCUGCCUCACAGACAGCGCUGCGUGUGGCGUAAAUAGGCCGUUGUAUUGCACGGUGACCUUUGCAGGAAAGUUAAGUUAGCUGAAGGAAUUUAUACCGUCCCGGGAGAAGGAUUCUUCUACCUUUGAUUUCGGCUGAUGAGGACAUGGCAGGAGGGUGUUCACAAAAAUAAGCAUCCGUAUAACCAAGCGUGAGGGCUGCUCCAAAAGUAAUGCCUCCUGAUUUUGAUUCUGUGAUUCUGUUUUGUUUUGUUGGCCCACAGCAUCCGAGGUGGAUGUUGUUGGUAUGGCAGUGGAGGCUGAACCUUCCCACCAACAUCUGUUACGUGAUGUUGCCGUGUGACGGAUGGCAGCAGAGGGGCAGUCUGACAAAGUGGCAUCCGACAUGGGAGUCCAUAUGAAGCAAAGGUGUGGAAUUAAAUUCCUCCAUGCGGAAAAAAUGGCACCCGCUGACAUUCAUUGAUGCUUGCUGAACAUUUAUGGAGGCAAUCAAUGGAUGUGAGCACAGGGAGGCGGUGGGUGGGUGCAACAGAUGUAAGCCACAUUCUGGAUGUCCAUGCACAGCUGUCACACCUCAAAGUGAAGAGAGUCUCAACCAGCUCACCUACGUGAAUCAGCUGAUGGUGAUAGCUGUGUUGAAAAAUAGUGUUUUGUAGCUGAAUUUUGCUCUAUCAUAACACAAAUUGUGUUAUCAUUCUCUGUUGUAGUUUCCAUGGAAAUAAAUAGGAAGCAUUACCUUCAGAGCAACCUCUGAAUGUAUGUGUAUGUGGCUGUAACCGCAUAGAAUUGCAAUCCUCUUUCAGUGCAGUGGAAAUCAAGGUUGGUGCUUGGAAGUCUUUGAUAUUACUGGAUCACAGUCAGGCACAAAUGAUUGUUACUAUCUCUCAGCCCUUACCUAUAUUCAUAGUAACUAACCAGAUAGAGCCAAAUCAAUAUAGCUCUGUUUUAAGUCAGCUCAAGUGUAGUCCCAAGAAGAUCACAGAAUCACAGAAUGUCAGGGAUUGGAAGGGACCUCAAAAGAUCAUGUAGUCCAGUCCCUCUGCCGGAUUCCCCGUUAUGUUUUUAGAAUUAGAAAUGUAGUUUAGCUAGGUUAAUGACACUUGGACUGAGCACAGAGUAUUACGUAGCCUUCCUUUGUUUUCAGUCGCAGGAAAGAAGAAUCAUUAUGCAAUCAGUAAAUCCCAUCGAAAGCUGCUGAUGUGGCCUGAAUUGUGGAUAGCAAAUACUGGUAUUGAACUUCUCAGUCUGUAGGCCGUUAUGAAUAACAAUGCCUGGAUAAGUCAGUCUGUAGAACACAUUUUGAGGAAGCAAUAAGACUUUGUAAAACAAAGAAGAGAAGCUGAGUAAUUUAUUCACUACAAAUACUUCAGUUGUUUUGUAUAAAAAAUUACUAUGUCAUCUUGAGACAAGUAGAGCCUCCCAGGCACACUACUGUGAGAUGUUGUGAGCUGUUCUGGAGGAAUAAUGGGAAUCCUAUCACGGUUUAAGUUAAUGAAACCUUACUGCUAACUGCAGAAAUGAUAAGAUUUCAUUCACAAAUAUUGAUAUUAUGUUGAAAGAAGCUUUUGAGACCUGAAAAGGCUACCUAAUUGAGUGCUGUAAAUAGGAUUAACCUCAAUUCAGGUAUCCUCUUUCCCUUUUUACUUUUUUCAGAUUAUGGGGAACAUUUGGAUGUGUGGCUUUCACUUUCCCCCCCCCUUCUCUAUGAAAUGUAUAGGAGGAAGGAAAGGAAGAUGAACGUUUUUGAAAAUGCCACCUUCCCCAAGUUAGCAAUGCUGCUCAUGUAUGAUUUUGCAGGGAAGAAAACAGCAUCUGAUGCCAUCUGCAGUCCUGGACCAAGCCCAAACUGUAACUCAGACUGAAAUGGAAUUUGUUGUUCUAGUACUGGGUCAGCUACAAAACCGCCUUUAGCAGCCUGCUCUCGGGAGAGAUUGCUUCCAGUGAAGCAGCUGGGAGACUGAAUUACUGCUCGGUGGCUGCAGAAGUGUUCAAGGUCAAAGUUAAGAACAGAAGUGAGAAAUGCGGUAAUGAACUCUUGAUUUGAGUUUGUUGAAGAUGACAGCUUAUUGCUUAGGUGAACAAAUAUACCCUGAAAAUUAUUUUAAGCAGAUAGUAGGGAUUGGGCUCAUCGUUUUCUGGAUGAGCAUUUUGUUCCAGACUGCAAACUGGAAUUCAAUUGUGAGCGUCCAGCCUAGCAGGUCAAACAGGUCCUGCCUCAUCCAGCCCGCUGCUCAUUCUUCAUGAGCUCCAGGAUUGUUAUAAACUAAUCUGUUAGUCACUGAAAAAAUCAUCUAAUGUUAUUUCAGGCCAGACCAGUCUUGCUUCUCAUUGAAUAAAGGCUGUGGAGGGCAAAAAUAAAAUGGUCAUGCAAUACAUUAUUAUAAAUCUAGGAGUUGUCUUUGGAGUGUACAGGAACAAUCUACAAUAGCAGAUCACUUUCGUGCUGUUUGCUUCUUUGCGAACCAGCUUCUCAACCUGGUAGGGUGUUUCUUUUUCUUGCUUGUUGUUGUAAGGAGUCAGUGUAGAAUUCAACUGUCUAACGCUUUACCUCGUGUUUACAUGAUGUGUUCCAUAGCAGCCAGCAUCAGCGCUGUUUGGACUUGCCAGCACUGGGCAGAGGAAGUAGGGUGCACAAACAAGGUUCAGCUCAGCUUACUAAUUGCAGUAAGUACCUAAAAUAUCAUUCAGAAAACUAUUAAAAGAAGUCUGUGCGAUAAAAGAUGUUAGAGAGGUAUUUAUGUCAAAACAGCGUUGUGAGGCAGCUCAGUGAGAGCACAGAUGUUUGGAAACAAGUGUUUGCAGUAGGCAGUGAUUACCACGUAUUUUUAUUUGUGUGUUUCUGUGUCAUUGAUGGCUGUUGAUAUAAAAUGCUCUCUUGCAGUAAGUUCAAAGCCAACCACCUACCUACUAAUUUUGUGAUGCAUUUACUGUUAAUCCUCCCCGUAGCCUUCCCUUUGUAGUUAUCUUCUAUAUGAAACUAUAUUUACUGGAAUUUGUACAGACCUUGAUCUUCAACUGACUUCAACAACGCCGUCACGUACAUCAAAAUAAAUAGAUCUUAGUGCAGCUUUCCUAUACUCCAAAUGGAUCUUUUGUGUGUUCUAAUAAUAGAUUAUGCUACACUAUUAACAUGUAAGGUAAAGAAAGUAAUCCUAAGUAACCAAGAUUGUAACAACGGGUUACUUGUAUUGUUUCACAAUGAAACAAUAUGAAAGUGCUAUCAGAAUGCUGUGACUAGUGACAAGUAUCUGCUGCCUGGAACCUGCCAGUUGCGCUUCCCAGAUAGCGCAGCUGGGAUCUCAGUAAGAACCUGGAGCUCUCCGAUGCCUCCACAUCAUGCGUGGCAACAGCAGUUGAACAGCACAGAGGACCAUGGAAUAUGAGGCUCUGGGCAGCCUGGUCUAGUGGUUGGCGACCUUGCCGUGGCAGGGGGGGUUGAAACUAGCUGAUCUUUGAGGUCCUUUUCAACCCAGGCCAUUCUGUGAUUCUGUGAUGGAGUGCUUCCCGGCCCCAGGGCAGGGCAUGGGGCUGCAUGUGCCACCUUUAUCUGAAAUGCUGAUCUGCAUGUCUUAUAGAGUCCUCAGAGCAACUGGAACCAUGUAAGAAGAAAAGGAGGGGCUUUGUUUGCUCAUUAUGAGCGUAGAGUUCAUGAUUCUGAAAGAUGUCAGCGUUACAAUGUAAACAUAUCUGCAACACUUGUCUUAGGCAGUAUGGCACGCAGAACCCUGUUUCAGCUUAGAACAGAAAUCAUUUUUAGUGGUGAAAAUGGGUCAGAGUGUGGCAGUCCUCUCUGGGCUGGGACAUGGAGACAUCUGAAGAGGCAUCUAAGUCUGACAGUAGAUUGGAAUAUUAGCUUCUUGAUUAGUAGUACCCAUCCAUUUCAUAAAGAUUACUCAUUGCUUUGAAACCAAUUCAACAGAAUGUAAUACGCAGGGAUAACUUUUCUGCAGAUGCUUUGAUCUCUGAUAGCAUUUUCCAGUGAUUCAGCCAAGCGUUUUGGGACAAGGGGAAACCAUGGUUAGGUCACCUAAUGGCAGGAAAAACUCUGCCUGAAGAAGAAUAAGAAAACAUCUCUGGAAGACAGCUUGAUGUGCUGUGGGACCUGGGACUCGGAAAUACCUUAAUUAAGCUGAAACUGAUACUGUGUCAUGGUGGGGUAGAGGAGUGGGACCUAAAUAACCUGACCUCUGAGAAGAAUAUCCAGUGCAUCGUUAGGAUGCUUUGUCUGACUUCUUGUGGUACUCAGCAGGACCUCUGCAUCAUCACAGAACAAAUCUGCGGCUUCACAGACACAUCUUGAGUAAUCCUGACUGAGUUGUUUGGGGAGAAAGCUGAAAUGCUUGUAGUUUGUCCACGUUGUGAAGAGCUCCUGAGGAAUGUCGGAAGAAAACUGUCCUAAUGGCUGUCUGUUGUGGGUGACCCAGUUGAACAAACAAUUGGAUGGAUGGCUGCUCCUAGCUGAAGGGCUCUCACAGGGGAGCAGGAAUGGCACUCUGCAUUGGCUGCUGGGGCUUCUGCUCCCAGCCCUCAUCGGUCCGUUCUUGAAUCAUUAUGAUUUGCAGAGCAUCAUUUGAAAGGAAUCUGAAAUAGGUUUUCACACGUUGAUCACAUCCCCAAGAGCUUUGUAUGUCUCUGCAUCAGUUGGGUGUUUUUAAAAAACACAGAAGCUCCACAGGUCUGUCACCCCACCCUGCAAUAAGAGCAGUCGAAAGCCAAUGAAGAGUGCAUCUCUUCUUGCUGUAACGGUACUGUCCUAAAAUAGGCCCUGGUGUUCCAGUGCGCAGAAGGUGAAGGAUGGCAUAUAAACAAUUGCUUGUUUACUUUUCCCACACUUGGGAACUGGAGUAAAUUCAGCUCAGAGAUUCCACAGAAACACUUCCGAAUGGGGAAAUAGGAGCUGGGAAACAAAGCUGUGGAUUUGCUUAGAAGCAACCCGUUUCUUCCUCAAAAUAAGUCGAUGCCUUAAUCAAGUAGUCAGGUGCUUAAGGAAUCACAGGGAAUGGAAGAGACAGCUUUCCAGGCUUGUUGAGAAGAGGGGGAGCUGAUUGCCCACAGGAUGCUGCUCAGUUGUGGCAGAAGACAAAGGGAAUGGGCUGGUGGCAGAAAAGAAACCCCUGCUGGAGCCAAGAGAUCUCUGCUGUGCCUUGUUCUAUGGAAGGGUCACUAGGCCGCUGUCUCUGUUGCUGCUAAAGCACCUUUACAGACAGGCGUAGGUCUUUCUGCUAUUUGCUGUUGUUCUCUUUUGAAAUGGAGCAGUUUUUCAGAAGAAAGCACUCCCACUGAUCUUGUUCAUAAAUAUAGAGGCGGUGUUGUGAGUACGUAGUGUUACUCCGUCAGGCUUCAGGGCAGUGUAGGCUCAGAGCUUGCCAACAUAAUCUUUGGCCUUCUCUGCUAUCUGGGUUUGGAGCUUCAGGAUCUCUCAGGCUAUGGCGUGGGGAAGACCCCAGUUGUAGAUCCCCUGCAGUCACUCCAUCAGCCUGCACUAUCAGGCGCAGCAUCUCAGCAAUACCGUGUUUGUACAGCGCACACACCCUGCAUGCACCUACAAGCCUGCUUUAUCACUGCUAAGUCUCUGCUGUGAAAGUAGAUUUCUGCUGGUGGAACUGCCCUGCCAGGCAGGGAGGUGUGCUGACUGCUCUGUCCUGUCCUGUGCCGUUGUGCUGGGAGAGACAGACCGGGAAUCGGGCUCACAGAGCAUACAGGUCCCAAGUUCUUUUGUACCUCAUUUUGCUUUCACACUAUCACUGUUACCUGUGUGCAUUAUUACGCUGCCCAAUCCAGUAUUGAUCUUCAUAUUGUGUUUUAACAGAUUGGAGUUAGGAGCUUCUUCUGUCUCCUUUGCCUGUGUCCCAUGACUGUGGCAUAUGCUGCUUUUUAACCUUACCUUUGUUUCUCUGAGUCCCUUCUUAAAUAGGAUUUACAAUAGCUGUGAUUUUUCCUUACAUUUUCUUUUCUUCACCUUUUUCCCAAGUGGAUGGAAAUCUUAGCUUCUUCCUAAGCAAGGUGAAAGUAUCCCGCAUGAAGAAGUUUUGUGUGGCUCCAGCCACAGAGAUGCUGAGUACUUGUUUCUCUCUAUUUGACUAGAAAACAGUACCUGGCGAUGGCUGUUUGUUUAUAUGGUGUGCUUGGGUGUGAGGGGCAAAGCAGGCAGAUUUACAUUUACAUUUCUGUACUGCUUUUUUCUCGAGCUCCCACACAUGAGCAAUUGCCCUGCAGGGUAGGGUGGGGGUGAGAUAUGUGUGUUGCUCUUUAUUUCGCUAUAAACUUCGCUCUGAUUACUAGGACUUCUCCAGGGAAGACGAGCCCUGCCUUACCAUUGCUGGGGGUAUAAAUCACUCCUAAUUAAUACCACAGUUAAGCUGCCUGGAGAGGAAGGCAAAACUCAUACGCUUUGGCUGUGUCAUUCCAGUAAACCUGUAUGAGAGGGAGGCCAGACUGACAGCCUGCAGGCUCUGUGCCCUGGGGCAGAGACACAGGUUGGUAUCAGGAUGAAGUUGCUCAAGCUUUGGUGAAGUUGCUCAAGUUUUGACCCAGAUCCCAGCUGUCCAGGACAAUUCCUGACCUGUGGAGCUCUUGAAGGAGGAGCACAAGGCAGACAUGAGGAGGUAGGUGCAGCACCUCUCCAUUUUGUAUGUGAGGUUUUUGAGCAACACACUUGCCAAAGGUUUUGUGGGGAAUCUGCAGAGCCAGGAAUUUAUUAACCCCAUGCCCAUCUCUCAGGCUGGUGCCAGAAGCAGACAGGUAGUUUGCUAAAUGCUUCAGCCCAACUCCUGGAAAGUAUGCCUGCAUUCCCACUGAAACCAGCAAGUUCCCCAGUUUAGAAUGCAUUUAUUUUUAAACUGUACAGGCAGAGCCUACAUGUUUUGACAAAGUAGCGCCAGAGCAUUGAGUGCCUUGGAGAUUCUUAGCCCUUACUGACUGCUCGCUGAAAGCACUGCCUCAGCCUCCUGUGGACUCCCAGACAGUGCCUGAGAGAGUGCGUGGUGCCUUUCUCAGCCUGGCCUUGCCCUUUUUAGCUUAAAUCAAUAGCAAAGAUGAAGAUAGAGUGCAAAGGGAAAGAGUUCAGAAUGAACAGUGCUCACUAAAUAGACAACCCACAUGUGAAAUGUAGGAUUUUAAAUGCAAAUGCCUUCAUCUUGUCUUAUCAGAGCCAAUUGGUUUAGCCCCUGUGCUACACAGGUUGAGUUUAAAUGCUGUACGGAUAACUGAGCUGACACCAGUAUUUACAUGGGACAACUGAUGAUGCAGUGUUGUAGUUGGCUUCCAGGAAAGAUCUUACCCCGGGCAGAACAGAGUCAAUCUCCACCAAGGUUGUACUUUCUCAUCAUUAUUUCUCUCCUGUGUGAAGUGUAGGCAGUGGGCACCGAGCUUGGCACCACAGCACAGUGGAGCAGGAAGUAAUGGGGAUUUCCCUGAUAGCCCCAAGGUCACAGUAGUGAGCAUGCAGCAACUUGGGAAAAAGCAGCACACAGGAGAAUGUCAGAAGGUCCUGUCACCCUGGCUGUCCUGCAGCCUUGUUUGUAAGGUAAGGGAUGAGAACAUCUUGGUAACAACAUGCUUCAUCCCCCCUCCUUACAAUAAAGUUGAGGGGGUUUUCUGGGAAGGCUAACAGGUUGAAAGCAUUCCAGUUGCCACUGGUUGACUUAGCUCAGUGGAAGAAUAUGUGCCUGCCCAAAGGAGCUUUCUCCUUACCCUAAAUCAUGCAUUUCUUCCCUCUUCUGUCACAUCAGCAGACUUGCUCUUUCAACCUCCAGGGAACUGUUUUGUUUUUGCUUUCAAUAGGGUCAGUUUUCAGGCAAGUAAGUAGGCUGGUUUGACCCUGUAAAACUCCAUUCCCAAACUGUGGGAGUGAUGGAGACAACAAAAGCAAGGGGACAGGAGUUGUAGGGCAGACCCACCUCUUUUGGCAGUAACUCGGUUUUAGCUUUGAGUUUUAGUAAUUGUGAAAGUGCACGAAAAGCAGUCUUUUCUGUUUGGGAUGAAUGAAAGCCUUCCAGGUGUAAGCAUGGGGAAUUAAUUACAGCAUUCGCCCAGCCCAGUUCUUCUCCUGGAGUCUGACACGUGGCUGCCUCAUGUGAUGUCUCUUGGCACCGCAGAGACAUAGCAUCACCCACAGCUCUGGCAGCAGCUGCUGCUUUGAGCCUGUCAGCCUCCUCCACUGGCUGGAGUAGCAGUGAGUUUCUGCAGGUGCACGGCAUGCAUCGCCAUAGUCCCAGUGAAGCCACCGAGUGCGUGGAAGUCUAUGAAUGAGAGCAGCUAUCCAAUCAAGAAGGUAUUUUCUACACUGCAGGUUAAAUGGCCAUCUUUCCCUCAAGAGAUGUGUGUAUAAAAGACGUGGCUGGUUUUUACAGACAGUACUAUGAAGACGUCGGUCGUUUUGAGUUGCCCUUUGCACCGCAUCACUGUUCUGUGCUUUGGAAGUGGUUGCAGGGCUGGCUCAAGUUCUGUCGGCUGUGCCUGGGGUUAAAGCAGAUGCUUUGGCCCUCUGAACCCAGCCUGGCAAGAUGAGGGCAGGGAGGCAGGAUUUCCCCUCCGUUGUUUUCUUUGAGUUCCAGAGCUUCCAACGAGGCUGGGAGAGGGGAAGGGUGACCAAGGAUAUCUGAGCAUCUUCUCUGUAAGCAAGGCCAAUUAUACACACGGCAAUUACCUCAGUGUAAACAGCCCAUCGUACCGAGAUGGGGAGAGCCUUUUGAGCCUGGGGAGGGUGCUUUGAAGUGCUUCUGCUCAGAGAGUGUCCAUUAAUGCUGGGAAUUGCACCGGCCGCAGCCCUCGGCUGCGUUAAGAGGAGUUGGGCGGCGGUGCCUAUUGAGCUGGGCGGGAUGGCUGUUAGGUGCCCUCGGUAUGACAAAGCGGUCGUUAACAUUCCAGCAGCGAUGGGGCAGUAGCCAGUAGCAACGCUUGCCUGCCUCGGCCAGCCCUGCUUGCUGCCGCUAGCGGUGCCAUAAGGGCACUUCUCUCCUGUACGUGCUAGAAUUCCACUUUCCUAGCGGUAUCUGCACGAUUUCUCGCCUGUACUGUGGAAGAAUCUUAGCAAGUCACACCGAAGUUAAUAUAAAUUAUCCAUCUCUCAGCAGGGAGGAGGAUUAUGUCAAUUUCGGCUAAUAGCUGCCAAAUAAUAGACACACAGAUGCUCUUAAAUUGGUUUAAUUCCCGUUGGCUGGCCCUGACAAUUGGGAGCAAAGAUAAAUAUAUACAAAGCAUUCAAAGCUCGGGGUGUUAUGAUGCUAAUUGAAAAGUCACCAAAGGAAGCCCUCACGGUCUGUGGGAACCUCGGUGCACGGGAUUAGCGGCUAAUUAGCGGCUAGGAGCUGUCUCAUCCCGAGCACAGGCACCUCUGCCCAUGCAGUCAGUCCUUGCCCUUGAUACCAGCAAUAAAGAAACUGCUGUGGGCAGCAGGCAGUGUGAUGGUAGGAAGAUAACGUAGUAUUAGCAGUGUAACAAGUUCUCCCAUCAUGCACAGAAGCAAUGUCAGAAAUGCUUGCUGUGUCUUGGGCCACAGCAAACAUAAAGGCAUUUGAGGCCUGAGCUCUUCCCCUCCCCCCCCCCCCCUUUUUAACAAAUGCACAAGUCUUGUUAUGUGACUUUUUACCUCUUUCAUGUCAUGUUUGCAGCAGAGGACAGAACACAUUCUGGAGACCCCGAGCCUCAAACCCUGCUGUGGACUCUGCAGUGAGUGCACACAGGCAGUCGCAGCCCCUUCCUUGCACGGUGCUUUAGAAUCGUGACAUUUAAAAAACAUACAAUCCGUCUGUCAGCAUCCCAGUAUUUCCCUCUCAAGCUGUUCCCUGGUGGACAACUGAAGAAUCCGAGUUUUUCAAAUAACACACUUGUGUUAUGUGAACCCAAGGGCUCGGCCUGUGGAAAAAGAGAUUUGCAAAAUGGUACGAAUCAGUUGCAUCACUGGCACCGCUGAACUAAUCAGGGCUUUGUUUAAUGAGGGGUGCAUCUAUUUUGCUCAAUUACUUCCCGCUGGUGAGAAUCCUUCAUUUAUACUUUCAUUUGGGAAUGCUGGUUUUGGAACUCUCCGGAGUUACAUGUUUUCUUGUCCUCACAUUUGCUUUUUCAGAUCUGAAACAGCUGUAAACACAGCUUUAAACUGUUACACACCCUCACAAUUAAAUUAACCAGUAUUACACUUCACAAAGACACCAAGGAGCAAUAGCAGGGAGGUUCACUUGUGAGCUUUGGAGGAGCUAAAAAGCUUCUUUCCUGUGUUAACCAGCUCUGAGUAAUGCGGUUUUGCACAAGCUGGAGUCAGAAGUGGGUAAUGUGAGGAACCCAUGCUGGUAGGCAGUGACCUGCAGUGCGUGGGCUGGUGGCCUAAGUCAUCUCUUCUGGCAACCAGCAGAGGGGUGCUUGUAGCCUGGUUUCCUUAACCCUCCUGUUGACCAGCCCUCCAGACAGCUAACUCUCUUCUCCAGCUGCUGAGAAAUAGCUAAAUCGUAGAAUCAUUUAGGUUGGAAGAGACCACUGAGAUCAUCCAGUCCAACUGCCAACCCAUCCCCACCAUGCCCACUGACCAUGUCCUUCAGUGCCACAUCUCCACAGUUCUUCAACACUUUCAGGGACGGUGACUCCACCACCUCCCUGGGCAGCCUCUGCCAAUGCCUCACAACUCCUGAGAUGAAAUUUGUCUUUAUAUCCAAUUCCCCACCCCCCAGUACAACUUAAGGCCAUUACCUCUUGUCCUGUCACUAUUACAUGGGAGAAGAGGCCGACCCUCACAGUCAUCCACAGUGAGAGCUAACAAACAAAGAGGACCAUCCUUCAUAUAGCAGCUAUGUUGUAGAAGUGAUGAUCUGGGAAGAGGGUAGGGAAAAGUGAACAGACUUUUAGGCAUAGAAGUUCUUCUACAGAUCUGAAAGAAACCUCAGACUUCAAGCUAUUUUGCCCCCUCACAAAAUCCUGUAGAAAAAAGAGAUAACAGCCCCAUACAACCACCUCUGCUGUAGAUAAGCUGCCCAGCUGGCUGGGCAGCCCAAAGAACCCAGCUGCUCCAGGAGUCUUAAUAGCUUUUGUGGAGCAACAGAUUCCUGAAAUGAUGCUCACCGUUCAGUAUGUUUGUCAGAACUGGAAUGAGAUACACAGGAAUAAUAUUUUUCGGCCAAGGUAUUUCUAACUGGUUCUCGGUGGGUAUUAGUAAUAAUACAGCUGUCAGCUUUCGCAGUGUUUUUUAAGCAGAAGUGCUUUGUAUCUUUCAAGGUGUCUUCCCUUUUAUCUUAAGCAAAAUACCUGUGGGAACCAUUAGUAAUGGUUUCUGGUACUGCUGGACAAUAGUAGUGUGAAGAUACAGAGUGCAGCAACCCAUGCAGCAUAGGAACCCAGUGACAGGCUGGAAGGCACUCUGUGCCAGAGCGUGGCAAGGAGCGAGCAGCAGAUCAGACAGCUGCUUAAUCCCUCUGUGAGUUGAAAAGAGGGAGGAGACGCAAAUCAAGAAGAAGGAGAGGACCGUAGAGAAGAAACUGCAGAGGAAUUCCUGAUUUCUAUAGGAAUCUCUGCAUGACACACUGGGUCUGUGGGAGCCCAGAGCUCAGCUCAGCCCCUCAAAACCUGGUACCACAGCUGUAACUCUCAGGAUCUCUUCUGAGCAAAUCUCGUGCCAUUUAGGGAAGGUGCUGGGCUGAGCUGAAGCUGUGCAAGUACAGCUGUUCUCAUAUCAGCUAAGAAAAAGUAAAAAUCAGUUUAAAGCAUUAGCCUGUUCCAAAAAAAAAAAAAAACAGUGCUAAACCUCAUUCUAGAGCUACUGUUAAGUUGAAAUAUAUAUAUUUAAGUGCUCCUUCAAAUAAAGCCUAAAAACCCAUUUGCUUUUCCAGUGGUCUAAUGACUGCUUUUGCCAGGUUACUUCCAACAUAGAAUUCACCUACAGUCUAAAGCGAUGCCUGGGAGAUCCAAGCAUUCUGGUAUGACUGGGAUAAAGCUGAGGUGAGAGGCAGGUCAGAAUCGGGUGUACCAUGGAGGUAUCUGCAGCCUUUGUGGGGAAAGAUUACCAUCUUGGUGGGGAGAUCGUGUUUCUGUUAUUACCAGUAACAACUGGUUUCUACUAUCUACUCUCCCCUCUUUGUUGUCCGGUAGGCCCUGACAACUGAGGGACUCAAUGCAGCACGCAGGUGAGGCUGAGGCUGGGCUCAGAAGUGCCGUCAGAUGGUGUCACGCACGUGGGGAUGUGUGGUAGCACGGCCCCGGUCGCAGAGAGCCUGCAGUCCGAGCCAGGAGCCUGCAAGAGGGCAGCACGGAAAAGCAGUGACACCUGUGCUGUUUUUAAUGGGAUUUGUAGCUGUGGGGUUUCGACAGAACCCACUUUUUCUUUCAGUGCAUUCUGACGUGGAAGUAUGUGAAAUGUAUUACCACAAGAGCAGGCUGUCUUGUGAGUGCUUCUGCGGGGCAAUGUCUUUUCUGCAGAGCUAGCCAUGGGGACCGAGCUUUAGCUGGGAGCAGCUUGGUCGGCGCCAUUUUCCCUCUGUGGCCUGUGCAGGAAGCUAACACCAGCCGACUUUGCACACUGUGGGACCGUAACAGGCUGCUGCCUGCGCCCGGGAGCGCAGACCCUCCUGCUGCACUCGGCAGAGCAAGUCUGAACUGGGUGCAUGGAGCAGGAAAUGCCAGUUCACAGCCCUCCCACGUGGCUCCAGGCUGCGUGCACAAUGACUUUUCCAGCCCCCCAGACUCUGUACACAUGAAUCCCUUCACCGUCCAGACGCCGUUUUGGGAUUGGCACAGCAUUCUGUGAUCUUGGAAGGCCGCUCAUGUGGUGUGGGAGCCAUCGCACACGCCUCUUGCAUUGGGUGCCUGCUGUGCUCCGCUGCAGGUGUUUCAUACUUGACAAGCAAGUCAUUGUGAGACUGGAGAAGCCACAUCCUUCUUCCUGGUCUCUGUAGUUCCACCUGCAGAGUUAGAGUAGUGUGUUCCAUCUUCCUAACCAAAGGAGACACAGAUGGGAUGGCAUGGUGAGAACUGGGGGCUCACGGAGAUGUCUCUGGCAGCUGUACAAGCAGCUGCACCAGAGCAAUGGGAAUACUAUGAUUUGUCUGGAAGAGGUUGGG
ensembl:lncRNA